AUACCAUGAUGUGGGCACUUCCUUAAUAACUCUUUAAAUCUCUCCCAAGAAUCACACACCGACUCAUCCUCCAACUGUUAAAAAGAAAUAACCUCAUCCCGAAACAU